ensembl:lncRNA
GCCAGAGCAUCGCCAUUUUGUCAGAAGGGUUUUUUUCCCCCCCAGCCUCAGUCUUUUCAAAUCUUCUCCCUUCCCGCCGGAAUAAUGCUGUCACUGGAUAUAUGUUUGACAUUUUUCGAUAAAGAAACGCGUCGAGUGGAACGGAUCAUGAAAAUCAAGAGGCAAACGAUCUAUUAAGAGUUAAGGCGGUUAGGCGGCGGCGGCGGCGGUCCGCGUCUCCGGUCCACCGGGCCGGUUCACUGCGCAGGUUUGGACCGCGCGCCAUUUUGUGAAAAUUGACAUAAAAUUCUUAUCCAAAAAAUUAUCAGAGGACACGCUUUUUGCGACGCGAUCCAGACCUCCGGGAUUCAGCCGAGCGGUCACGUCUGUCGAAAAGAUACCCGUCGCGGAAACUAGCACUAGAGACACGACAAAUCGGAAUUUACGACGAGGUUUAUUUAGCGGGCAGCUCCUAAUCGUUAGCUCGGAGGAAAGGAGCUAAAGCUAGCAAACGGGGCUAAUGCUAGCCGCGUUCAUUUUGUCAACUCGCUAGCCUAGCCCGUUCGGCUAAGGUUAGCUAGUGAGUAAUGCGUGCUAGUUAACGUUAGCGGGCAGCUAGUCACCAGCUGAUUGUUCUCAAAGACGCCUUGAGUGGCCCGUUCGGAUUCUGAGCAAACUUAGUGCGCUGGGCAUGGUGGAGUAGCCGGCCGCGGAUGGUUCUAGACCUCGCCGGGGUGAAGAGGAAGGGGAAUCGGGUUUAACGUCCCUGGCUAACAGCGCAGGGAGGGGAGAAUCUCAAACUGGAUAAGUUGCCUCAUCAUACAGGUUAUUGGACUUUAAAUGAAGAUCGUGCCAUCAGGGACGGAGCGGCUCGAAGGGGCGACGGCACCGUCUGCCGACAGUCACAUAGCGCUGCUGGUCAGGGAUAUGACAGCCAGCUUACAUUUACCGUCCCCACCGUCGUCCCUGUGGCUGGUGGUACCGGUCCGUCCAGGCAGUAGGUCAACGAACCAUUGUUAACACUGGACAGGACAAGCCCGGGCGCUAGGUAGCUAGCAGUCAGCCCCAUCGCGCUGUGGGUUGACGGGCACCGCUCACCUUGCGAUCUAUGAGAUCAUUUUUUUAAUGAUAGCCGAUGUGCUGUGGGCUAUAUGUCUCGGUACUUUCACUGUUGCCGUGUGUGUUUUCACUGUGGAGGUGAGCCCACAGCCACCUUUGCUAAUUUGGCUAACCAUCGGGCUAACCUGGCUAGUGGUGGAGGCUGGCUUGUUGACGAGCCCGCUGAAAGGGCCCGUAACCCGCUGGCUGCUGGGCACAUCGUCACUAGCUGCACGGUGGAGGGCUGAGAGGUGGACUACUCGCUUGUCCCGCAGAUUUGAGCUUGACGGUUAACGGCGCUGGCUAACGUUGAGUGGAAGCGGCCCCGUACCCCUGAUUCGUGGAAAUCUAGCUGUUUUUGCAGGUUAAAAUAUUGCAAUAUUGCGAUAUUUACACACGGUAUGUAGCGGAUGGAGACGGGAAAGAGGCUGAAUAUGCUUUCUGAAUUCCAGCCAUGACGAGAUCUAGCCCAUCGACU